GACGAACGCUGGCGGCGUGCUUAACACAUGCAAGUCGAACGGAAAGGCCCUGCUUGCAGGGUACUCGAGUGGCGAACGGGUGAGUAACACGUGGGUGAUCUGCCCUGCACUUCGGGAUAAGCCUGGGAAACUGGGUCUAAUACCGGAUAGGAGCCAUUUUUAGUGUGAUGGUUGGAAAGUUUUUUCGGUGUAGGAUGAGCUCGCGGCCUAUCAGCUUGUUGGUGGGGUAAUGGCCUACCAAGGCGGCGACGGGUAGCCGGCCUGAGAGGGUGGACGGCCACAUUGGGACUGAGAUACAGCCCAGACUCCUACGGGAGGCAGAAGUGGGGAAUAUUGAACAAGGGGCGCAAGCCUGAUGCAGCGACGCCGCGUGGGGGAUGACGGACUUCGGGUUGUAAACUCAUUUCGCUAGGGACGAAGCUUUUUGUGACGGUACCUAGAUAAGAAGCACCGGCUAACUACGUG
rnacentral:rRNA from 1 species